rnacentral:rRNA from 1 species
CCCGCUGAACUUAAGCAUAUCAAUAAGCGGAGGAAAAGAAACCAACAGGGAUUGCCUUAGUAACGGCGAGUGAAGCGGCAAAAGCUCAAAUUUGAAAUCUGUCACCAUUGGUGUCCGAGUUGUACUUUGGAGAGGCAUCUUCUGGAGGGGUCCAGCCUAUGUGCCUUGGAACAGGACGUCAUAGAGGGUGAGAAUCCCGUCCUUGGUUGGAUGUUCCCUCCUGUAUGUAGUGUCUUCUACGAGUCGAGUUGUUUGGGAAUGCAGCUCAAAAUGGGUGGUAAAUUUCAUCUAAAGCUAAAUAUUGGCGAGAGACCGAUAGCGCACAAGUAGAGUGAUCGAAAGAUGAAAAGCACUUUGAAAAUAGAGUCAAACAGUACGUGAAAUUGUUGAAAGGGAAGCGCUUGAGAUCAGAGUCAGCCUUUGGCAAACAACUACUCCUUCUGGAUGGUGCACUUGUCAUUGGUUGGGCCAGCAUCGGUUGGGACGGCAGGAUAAAGGCCCAGGGAAUGUGACUCCUUUAUGGAGUGUUAUAGCCCCAGGCGGCAUACUGUCUGCCCCGACCGUGGACCGCGUCUUGGCUCGGAUGCUGGCUUAAUGGUCUUCAGCGACCCGUCUUGAAACACGG